AAUGAACACAAAUUUGAUCACUUUGGCAAUCUGUACACAUUGCUGUGUAACAAUUUGUAUACGUUGGCACAGUGCUAUCAAAGCUGCAUGCAAGUGUUUUUUUGAAAGGAUACAACAUGGGAUGUGAUAUUCAUGUGUGUGUGCCUGCUUUGUCCACAGCCUGUGCUGUAUGAAUCACAUUUCUUGCAACUGAAAUGCUAAUGGCAUGGUAAAGUUCAUGUGACAUGACACAAGCUUGAGAUUCAUGAUGUGCAAGUACCAUGAGGGAAAUGUGAAAAGGACUUUGGAAAGAGAAUUAAAUAAAGCCUGCAUUUGCUGACAAUGAAAGCAAGUGUGGAUGUUCAUGUAAUUGUUACUGCAUCAAUCAAUGUUCAUCUUGGUUACUGCAUGCUUUAUAUUACAGCUCAGAACAUGAAGUGUGUGUAACAGCUCUGCUUUGAUUUUUCCCACAUGGGAUCAGUUGAAACAUUGUGAGAGCACUCUUCAGUUUCCUUAUGUACCCACCAGCUUUGUCCACUCGUGUGUUGGCACACAUGUAAUGAUGAUGUGUUUAUGCAAGAUACUUCUGUGCGCAACAACAUGUUGUGUCAAUCCUCACUUGACCCGUCUUGAAACACGGACCAAGGAGUCUGGCAAGUGUGCAAACCAACUUUCUGUAAAGAUUUGUAUGUAAUGAACAUGUUUGUAUCAUUAUUGCACCACCAAUCAAUAUUCAGCUCGUUGCUUAUUUGAAUGUGAGCAUUGUUGCUAGGACCCGAAAGAUGGUGAACUAUGCUUGCAUAACAUGAGUUCAGAGGAAACUCUGAUGGAAGUUUGUAUCGGUACUGACGUGCAAAUCGUUCGUCACAACUGGGUAUAGGGGCGAAAGACUAAUCGAACCAUCUAGUAGCUGGUUCCUCCCGAAGUUUCCCUCAGGAUAGUUGGGAUUUGUUCAGUUAUAUUAUUUAAAGCGAAUGUUUAAAGGAAUUGGGGGCUUGUUUGCCUUUGACCUAUUCUCAAACUUUUAAUGUGUAUUAUUGCUGGAAUAACACAGAGUAUUGCAUGCAAUGAAAAAAUCAAGUGGGCCAUUUUUGGUAAGCAGAACUGGCGAUGAGGGAUGAACCUAAUAGUGGGUAAACAUGCUUAAUUUCCUGCCUAUGUGAUACCAGAAAGGGUGUUGGUUCAU
rnacentral:rRNA from 1 species